rnacentral:rRNA from 1 species
GACGAACGCUGGCGGCGUGCUUAACACAUGCAAGUCGAGCGGAAAGGCCCUUCGGGUUACUCGAGCGGCGAACGGGUGAGUAACACGUGAGUAACCUGCCCCAGACUUUGGGAUAACCCUCGGAAACGGGGGCUAAUACCGGAUACGACACAGCUUCGCAUGGGGUCUGUGUGGAAAGUUUUUCGGUUUGGGAUGGGCUCGCGGCCUAUCAGCUUGUUGGUGGGGUGAUGGCCUACCAAGGCGACGACGGGUAGCCGGCCUGAGAGGGCGACCGGCCACACUGGGACUGAGACACGGCCCAGACUCCUACGGGAGGCAGCAGUGGGGAAUAUUGCACAAUGGGCGGAAGCCUGAUGCAGCGACGCCGCGUGAGGGAUGACGGCCUUCGGGUUGUAAACCUCUUUCAGCAGGGACGAAGCGUAAGUGACGGUACCUGCAGAAGAAGCGCCGGCCAACUACGUG